UAGGGAAUCUUCCACAAUGGACGAAAGUCUGAUGGAGCAACGCGCGUGAGUGAAGAAGGGUUUCGGCUCGUAAAACUCUGUUGUUAAAGAAGAACAUAUCUGAGAGUAACUGUUCAGGUAUUGACGGUAUUUAACCAGAAAGCCACGGCUAACUACGUGCCAG
rnacentral:rRNA from 1 species